UGCUCGUGGAUAGGAGUCCCAGUUCAACCCCAGCUGGGUUUUUCAUAUGGUGGAAGAGGACGGGUGGCCGGAGGGGUUGGCUGUUAUCUUUGGUUAUCUAGCUGUAUGAGUGUUAUUCAUUCUUCAUAAAGCUAGAUAACCGAAAGUAACAAGAAUCCCAUUACACACCUGAAAGGCAUCACCCCACCAUGAGAUCUGUACUCUGUCCCUCUCCUCUUUUCCUUCCUAUGUCUCCCCCUCUCUCCUCCUCAAUCUCUGCAUCUUAUUGCAAGAGAAAGCCACAAAAUGGCCUCCAUCACUGCUGAUAGAGAAGACCAGCCAUCCUUGAUGCCAGGGAAUGGAAAGAGUGAAGAAGGUCGGCUGUGUGGCUGUCGUCCUGAUGGUGUUGCUGCUCCCCUCCCCUUCGCUACUCGCUUGCCCCCUUCCUCCUGUCACGAGAUGCAGUUUGCACAAAGCCACCAUCUUAGAACAUGCGGGCAUUAAAUGGAAGUGGAAAAUAAGCAGGUUUUUGGAGUCAAGUCAAACAACGUGAAAUCCAUUAAAUGGAGGAACGUUCAAACAGACGGCUGAAAGAGUGAAACGGGUUACUUUACUAUGCAUGUGCCCCAACAUAAGAUAAACGCACUUUAUUUGUUCUAUAUGACUUCAAACUUGGCAUUUGUGAAGCAGUUUUAGAGCCUACUGUUCCAAUGGCCAUAUGUUGCGAGCCAAGUAUGUGUAUGUGUGUGUGUUAAAAAAUAUGUGAGAAACUGUUAAGUCUUUCUUUGUACGGGUCAGGGUUAAAGUACUUACACUAACGAUUUGUGUAUUUUAACAA